rnacentral:lncRNA from 1 species
UGGUUCACCUGUUAACCUGCGAAAAGUAUUAUAACCACUGUAUCAAUAAUUAAUUAAAGCUAGUUUAGUAAAUGCAGUGUAUCGAGUAAAAAGUGAUUUAGAGUUGCAUUAACAAACUGAUAAUUUACAGUUAAUGUCAACAUGUAGUCAUGUACACUAUAUGUGUUGAGGUGUAAAAGUAGUACUACUGAAAUAAUUAAUCUGAAUUAAUUUACUAAAUGCAAUGCAUAUUGGUGUAAAUAUAUGUUAAUUGAAUUUCGCUAAUUUACUAGUUCUUUUGUAGAGUUAAUAUUCAAUAGCAGAUCAUAUCUUCAAUUACUGAUGUUUUUUUAAACUAUUUUUUACUUUACCGCUUAAAACUUCUGGCAAAUAAACUUAUUUAUUUUCUAUCAACGCCAAUACACCAUUCAUAUACUUAUGACCAAAGAUUACCAAAUAUUCAAAAGAAUUCCAACAAAUCAGAAUAGAUCUCAAUUCAGAUUGGAUAGUCUUAAAAGCUUUUUCAUCCCUAACGUUUCCACCUUAAAAUGUU